CGAGGACGCAAAAUAACGGUGCCCUCGUUUGACCCGGAAAAGGUUUGACGUAAUUUCAUUGCUGAACUUCGUGAUACAGCACUUUAAUUUCAAUUUAUAAUUACUCAAGACUCAUUGUCUUGAGAUGGCUGAGUCCUUUAAACAGUGGUUGGAGGCAGGGAAAGACCUGGCAGACGAGUUGUCAUCAAAAGUACCCCCAACGAAAAAAAAGCGCAAGACAGCAGGGGGCUCAAAUGUUACCUGGAGGAAGCGGGAACAAGAUGGGACGAU